GUGCAAUGAGUGUACCUGCGGCUUAAUUUGACUCAACACGGGGAAACUCACCGGGUCCAGAUACAUGCAUGAAAGACAAGCUGACAGACUUUUCUCAAUUAUGUAAGUGGUGGUGCAUGGCCGUUCUUAGUUCGUGGAGUGGUUUGUCUGGUCUAUUCCGAUAACGAGCGAGACCCCAGCGGUCUAAAUAGGGGGGGCAGCCCGGCUCGCUCCGGCCCGCAAGGGCUGGGGCUUGCUAGCGGCCCCUUCGUAAAGCGUAGCUUCUUAGACGGAUCAGGGCCGAUAAGGUCCUUGAAAUGGGUUAAUAACAGGUCAGUCAUGCCCUUAGAUGUUCCGGGCCGCACGCGCGUUACAAUGGGAGGCAAAGCGAGUGUUCGUUCAGUCUGAGCUUCUCCAUACCCGACAGGGCUUGGUAAACCCUAGGUCCUCCCUUGACUGGGAUAGACUAUUGCAAUUAUUGGUCUUCAACGAGGAAUUUUUAGUAGUCGCGGGUCAUCAACCCGCGACGAAUGCGUCCCUGCCCUUUGUACACACCGCCCGUCGCUGCUACCGAUUA
rnacentral:rRNA from 1 species